UGUCCUAGUCGCCUAAGGGAUGGGCAUGGGCUUUCUAAGCCUGUUUGUGUGGGUUCGAAUCCUACCUAGGAUGU
rnacentral:tRNA from 1 species